UACAGAGGGUGCGAGCGUUGUCCGGAAUCACUGGGCGUAAAGGGCGCGUAGGCGGUCUGGUAAGCGUGUGGUGAAAGCUCGGGGCUCAACCCCGAGUCGGCCGUGCGAACUGCUGGACUGGAGCAUGUCAGAGGCAGGCGGAAUUCCGGGUGUAGCGGUGGAAUGCGUAGAGAUCCGGAAGAACACCGGUGGCGAAGGCGGCCUGCUGGGACAUGGCUGACGCUGAGGCGCGACAGCGUGGGGAGCAAACAGG
rnacentral:rRNA from 1 species